GUUUACGCAGGUGUCUACUGGAGGCGUCAUCAUGCUCCAGGAUCUGAAGGACCAGGAACCAGAAGAGAUCAUCCAAGAGAUUGCAGCUCAUGGUCCAAAGGUGGCUGAUGAAGAGGAGGCCGAGCCUGAACCACCGGAGCCGUUUGAAUUCACCGAAGACACUUAGAUGCUGCCGUAUAAACAGUUCUACGUUAACGUCAAAUAGCUUGUAAAAAAUUAGCACGUGCUCAGGAUUUACGAUUGAACCUGUAUAAUAUGUUGUCUUGGCAAAAAUUUUGAGCAUCUCUUUGGCAGAUUUUGUAGUUCAGCUGCGCACAAAUACGAAUUUCGUUGUAUGUUAACGGGAUUUUUUCUUACUUUAAAUUACUUACUAUUGACUCAAAAUUUCAAGUUAAAACUCCAUUUGUUAUUAAUUUGUUAAGAUAAACAUACUUAACAUAUAUCGGAUUGUUUGAAUCAAGGAAUAUCAUUGUAUGCUUGCAACUAUACCUUGUGCUACAAAAUUCAGGCCGUGUGUGCAUGCAUGCAUUGAUGCAGUUGAAACUUCACAUUAAUAAAAGCCAGUGCAAAUGCAA